UGCGUGCCGUGUUACAACGUGAACGGCAUUCGAGUCACUUCGAUGCUUCGAUCGUGGUUUUUCUUCGCUCCGAACCAGAGACGGGGACGUCGGGGACGAGGAGGAAGCCUGGACACACCGACAGGUUGCGUCAUCGUUCAGGGAGGGGUAGGGAAGCAUCAUCAAAGAUUAGAGGAUCCACUGAUACUCGAUAGCGUCAACAGAAGAUGUAAUGUAAUCGUUGACCGAGGUGAAAAGUGAACAAUCUAGGAAGGAAAACUGUACGAACAGCACCGAUGAAAUGGAAAACGCCAGACCUUCUCUCAUCUGUGAGUCCUAUCGUUUACGUCAUUCGCCGUUAAUUUCACAUUGGCCAGACGAGUGUCCAGUUACGUUUCUCUUUCCUCCAUCCCGAUUACUUCUCGCGACGUCCACCGAUACGAUUAUGUCUUAAACGAGAACUGUACGUAAUUUCGAGAGAUAAAGUUUGAUAAAACGUAAGGGAAGGGAGAAGGACAAAACCCAGUGGAGGUAGAAUACAGUUAUCCUUUGCUCGGUGUCAUAAUUUUUCUAUCGUAAACUCCUCGGACACCUAAGGACGACCGUAGCAGAGGGUGAAGAAAGAAAAAUGAAGAGAAAGAUGCGUACAGGUAUCGAAGUGCAUGCGCACAUAAGAAGAUCGAUUCUCGAGCGAUCGAGCGAGUGCGUGGGGACCAGUGUUCGCCCCGGAUGACUCGUUGACUCACUGACUCCUCAACGGGCUUACCGUUAACCAGCAAAAGUGAACCAAGUAAGUCGUGUCUCUGGAACUUGCGGUACCGAUUGUAUAUGUAUACUCUACGUGUGGGACGAUUUAAAGCUCACCAUUGUCGCUGCCUCGAAUAUAUACGGAAGGGAUGUUUAAAGAAAGUGCGAGCGAACGAUCCUUCUUUCGAUCGGACUUCGAACCGUGACUUUUGCUACCUGAUGCAAGAUUCUUCGUGAAACGCUUUCAAGCUCUACUAUCUGAGAUAUUUGGAAAUAUUAUUCAAUUUGAAGCGUGUUAAUUAGACGAUAUUACUAAUUAUUUUCAAAAGGGUUGGACCAUAUGGAAGACGAAGGUGAAAGGCGGUGGAUUUUCAAAAGUAGUUCGACCAUCUUAUCUCGGACGGGGGUAAUUAUAAAAGGAGCUCGGAAAAAAAAGGGCUCCAUCGGGGGUGUGUUUAAAGCACAGACGUCGAGAGAAUGCAGAAGAUGAAUUUGGAUGAAAAAGCAUACUCUGUGGCUUUGAUUUCCGGGUUGUAACAUAUGUUCCUUACAGAUGCUUCGUCGUUUUCUGUCGAAACGCCACUUCUUACGCUACCGAAUGAGAUUGCUGAAUUCCUUUCACACAGAUUCACUUUGUACACCAUGACGGUAUUGUAAAAACGCUGUGAACUGGAAGUAUGCAAAUUAAAUCUUUUUUUAUCAAAGUUCCAUCUGGAAAUUUAAACGGUCGACGAGAUAAUGGUCAAGGAAUUAGAAGAAGAAUUUAGAUAAAAGGCCAUGGUCAGGAUACGACAGUGUCUGGUACCUAAUUAAAUAUUUUGAUAAUUAUGUAUCCGCGUGAGGGGAAUGAUCGAAACGAUCGAGAGAUUAGGAAAAUAGGAGCGUCCUUCGCGGUAAAGAGUGUCGAUUACCGUAGGUAAAUUGCGUGACAGAGGAGAGAACCGGCGGACCUUGACAGUGGCGGACUCCUUGACGGUAGACCGGUGUCAGUGAACCGACCAACAGGACGACGAACGAGCAGCAACGAUCCAAGGAUACAUUCUGUACCGUCUGACAAUCGCCAGACUUUGCGGUCUUCCUUUCUUUCAGAACCGUUCAUCAAUCUUUUUUUUUUUUUAUUCCAACUCCUUAACACUAUGAAGUCACCGCUAGCGUAACUAUUUUUCUCUACAACUGCUGAAUCAUCGACACCUCGCGCGAUGCGACGGUUCAUUCGAUUAAUCAAAUAAAACGGUAGCAGAUGAUUUCGUAUUUUCGAGAAAAUUUUAGUUUAUAAAUAGUGCCGGCUUAUCGAAGAAAUUGUUUUACAAUUGUACUAUCUAGCAAUUAUGUUUUCAUCGUAAAAUAUGGCCAGGUCAAUUUAGCGUCUAAUGGGACAAACGACGCCACCGUAUUCUGCAUACCGUCCACGCUGCAUUAACCACUAAUUGUUAUUCUGUCGAAAGCAUUAUAUCAUUGUGCCUCGUCGAAGACGUAUGUUAACCCUAUCGUCCCUCGUAUUGUUUAAAAGUUAAUUAUAAUUGAACGAUCUUGCAGAAUUGAAUAGAGUAAAGUCAUUGUUCCCAUUCUGGGUUUACAUAAUUUCCAGACGCUCGUUUUGCAUGAACAUAUAGGGUGUCGGUUAAAUAAAUUAUGC